AUUGAACGCUGGCGGCAGGCCUAACACAUGCAAGUCGAGCGGUAACAGGAAGCAGCUUGCUGCUUUGCUGACGAGUGGCGGACGGGUGAGUAAUGUCUGGGAAACUGCCUGAUGGAGGGGGAUAACUACUGGAAACGGUAGCUAAUACCGCAUAACGUCGCAAGACCAAAGAGGGGGACCUUCGGGCCUCUUGCCAUCGGAUGUGCCCAGAUGGGAUUAGCUAGUAGGUGGGGUAACGGCUCACCUAGGCGACGAUCCCUAGCUGGUCUGAGAGGAUGACCAGCCACACUGGAACUGAGACACGGUCCAGACUCCUACGGGAGGCAGCAGUGGGGAAUAUUGCACAAUGGGCGCAAGCCUGAUGCAGCCAUGCCGCGUGUAUGAAGAAGGCCUUCGGGUUGUAAAGUACUUUCAGCGGGGAGGAAGGGAGUAAAGUUAAUACCUUUGCUCAUUGACGUUACCCGCAGAAGAAGCACCGGCUAACUCCGUG
rnacentral:rRNA from 1 species